CAAAAUAUGGCUCGAAUGGAAAAGAUUGUAGCGUUUGCAUUUGUCUUAAGUUUGGCAUUGGUAAUGAUAUCAAAAGAUGUUGAUAUUGGAGUUCAAGCUUUACAGAGUCCCGGUCUAGUACAAUGCAUAAGGGACAAGCCAUGCCCACAAGGUACAGGACUAGAAUGUGAUUUUUAUAAAAUAGCCAUUCUACCCUGCACUUGCGAGGUAGUGGUUGAAUGUGAUCCCUACGCAACUGGAUGCCGUGAACGCACUAGUGGAGGAGGCUUUCGUUCUUGUGGAAACUAAACAUCUCGUUAUUUGUUUCAAUGGGACAGUUUUCAGAUUAAAACAGUCGAGUGUACUGGUUCAGAGAGAGCCAACACUUGCUGUGAUUAAAUUGUAGUCUAUGUAAUUGUUAAAAGGAGGUAAAGUGGCAAGACAAUUCCAUUGGAGUUUCUU